GGCAUAGUGUGGAACUGUGGAGAAGUGUAGAGCUCAGAUGUCCUCCUUAUCGUACUUUUGACUAAAGUUCAUAUUUACGAGGUCUGUCUUAAGAAUUCCACCUCUGUAAGACUAUAGGUGAAAUUCUUGGACCGCCGCAGGACAAGCGGCCGUGAAAGCUUUUGCCAAGAAUGUUUUCAUUGAACGCGCAAGAAUGUUUUCAUUUUCUAAGAACGCGAAAGUCGAAGUUCGAAGAUGAUUAGAUUCCACUCUAGUUCUACCCAUAAACUAUGCCAGCCAGCAAUCCGGUUGCGUUUGAGCAACGACACGCGGGGCAACUUCCGGUAAACUAGAGCUUUUUAAAUUCGGGUGAAGUAUGGUUUCAAAGCUGAAACUUAAAAGAAUUGACGCAAGGGCAUCAACAUGGUUUGAUACGGCUGUUCAAUUUGAUUCAACAUGGGUAAACCCACCCGGUUCGGACACGGCAAUGAUUAACAGAUUAAGAACUCUUUCUUGAUUCUGUGGGUAGUGGUGCAUGACCAUUCUCAGUUCGUGGGCAUGACU